rnacentral:rRNA from 1 species
GACGGGUGAGUAACACGUGGGCAACCUACCCUAUAGAUUGGGAUAACACAGGGAAACCUGUGCUAAUACCGAAUAAUACAUUUUCUUUCAUGAGAAGAUGUUGAAAGAUGGUUUCGGCUAUCACUAUAGGAUGGGCCCGCGGCGCAUUAGCUAGUUGGUGAGGUAAUGGCUCACCAAGGCAACGAUGCGUAGCCGACCUGAGAGGGUGAUCGGCCACACUGGGACUGAGACACGGCCCAGACUCCUACGGGAGGCAGCAGUAGGGAAUCUUCCACAAUGGGCGAAAGCCUGAUGGAGCAAUGCCGCGUGAGUGAUGAAGGAUUUCGGUUCGUAAAACUCAGUUGUAAGGGAAGAACAAGUAGCGUAGUAACUGGCGUUACCUUGACGGUACCUUAUUAGAAAGCCACGGCUAACUACGUGCCAGCAGCUGC